GUGAACGCUGGCGGUAGGCCUAACACAUGCAAGUCGAACGGCAGCACAGUAAGAGCUUGCUCUUACGGGUGGCGAGUGGCGGACGGGUGAGGAAUACAUCGGAAUCUACUUUUUCGUGGGGGAUAACGUAGGGAAACUUACGCUAAUACCGCAUACGACCUACGGGUAAAAGCAGGGGAUCUUCGGACCUUGCGCGAUUGAAUGAGCCGAUGUCGGAUUAGCUAGUUGGCGGGGUAAAGGCCCACCAAGGCGACGAUCCGUAGCUGGUCUGAGAGGAUGAUCAGCCACACUGGAACUGAGACACGGUCCAGACUCCUACGGGAGGCAGCAGUGGGGAAUAUUGGACAAUGGGCGCAAGCCUGAUCCAGCCAUACCGCGUGGGUGAAGAAGGCCUUCGGGUUGUAAAGCCCUUUUGUUGGGAAAGAAAAGCAGCAGGUUAAUACCCCGCUGUUCUGACGGUACCCAAAGAAUAAGCACCGGCUAACUUCGUG
rnacentral:rRNA from 1 species